rnacentral:rRNA from 1 species
AUGAACGCUGGCGGCGUGCCUAAUACAUGCAAGUCGAGCGAACAGACGAGGAGCUUGCUCCUCUGACGUUAGCGGCGGACGGGUGAGUAACACGUGGAUAACCUACCUAUAAGACUGGGAUAACUUCGGGAAACCGGAGCUAAUACCGGAUAAUAUAUUGAACCGCAUGGUUCAAUAGUGAAAGACGGUUUUGCUGUCACUUAUAGAUGGAUCCGCGCCGCAUUAGCUAGUUGGUAAGGUAACGGCUUACCAAGGCAACGAUGCGUAGCCGACCUGAGAGGGUGAUCGGCCACACUGGAACUGAGACACGGUCCAGACUCCUACGGGAGGCAGCAGUAGGGAAUCUUCCGCAAUGGGCGAAAGCUUGACGGAGCAACGCCGCGUGAGUGAUGAAGGUCUUCGGAUCGUAAAACUCUGUUAUUAGGGAAGAACAAUUGUGUAAGUAACUAUGCACGUCUUGACGGUACCUAAUCAGAAAGCCACGGCUAACUACGUG